GCAUUCUUUCUACAAUGGAAAUCAAAGUUCCAGUCCCUCUUCCAGUCUUCAGUGGUCCACUGGCGGUGCUUUGUGGCCCAGGCAAGCCUGACUUCUUAUUUUUCCAUCUUAGCAAUGGCUUUCUUACCGUCACUUGUCCUGACAAACCUGCAGCUCAAAGUCUUCCCUUCAUAGUUGAUACUGCGACUUGCUUUCUUCAACUAGUGUUAAGCUGUCCUAUGAGCCGACCAUCUAACCUGUUGACUCUCAGAAAUCUACCUUCUUAUUCUGUUGUGGCUUUGGGUCUGCCAAACCUCUUCCACACAAUUUCCUUCAUUUUCCAAGUCAUUUUGUUGAUGUAGGAAACUGUACUCACUUUUAAGGGUUAUAAUGGUCUGAAUGUCUUCAUUUGUUAAUUGCCUUUUUCUCUCUAUUAUGAUAGAAAUAUACUACUUCCAGCAGUACAAUACUGUCCAAAUAAUGCUUAAGAGGGUGUAGUAACACAGUUUGUUCCAACACUGCUUGUAUACAGGUAAUAUACUUACUAAAAAACAGAGUAAGUAAACUUUGUAAGUAGUAAGUAAUCAACAUGGGACACCUGUAGGAAUUGUUAGCAUCAGUCACUUAUUUUAUAACUCUUAAACUGUACAUUAUUUUUCAGUUUUUGGUUAACUAGUAUUGUAUUGUCUAGAAAACCAGCAUAAAACACUUUAACAAAGUCUGUAAACAUUCUUGAAAGACAAUUCAUGGGUAAAAAUAAUUUUGAGCUAGUCAUUUUCCAGUGCCCUCAUCUAAUAUUGGCACCUUAAUAAAUAUUAGCAAAAUGGGUUGUGAAAAAGGGGACUCUAUUUAUCUCGAUAGAUAAUGUUACCUAAUUAUCCCACCAGUAACUAGCUUGCCUAACGCAAUGCAGUUUGAUGUUUUUAUUAAUGUCCAAUAACUAUAUAUUUCAGAUGACAUGGGGGGGGGGGGGUUUUGGUAUUGUGACAUGACCGCAAGAGCAGCUGCUCACCAACCUGAUAGCAACAACCCAGUGACACCACAGAAAUUGUCUUGACAGAGAUAUCUAUUCACUAUGCUGUUUGAUCUGUUUAAAUCUAAGCCAAGGUCAGGUCUUUGCCCUGAUAGAGUUGAGUAACGGUAAAUGCAGACUGCAAUGUCAAUAGGGGAGUUUUGCCGUCCUGUUUGGGGAGCGAGAAGUGCGAAAGGAGGAGAGUGAUUGGAGGGAAGGGAAAGGUAGAAUGACAGACUGGGUCAUUGGAAAGGAGGGGAACCUUAAAGGGGAGGCUGGGUCGAUGGGGUGGAGUGGAACUUGGAGAGGAAGCUGGGUCAGUGGGGUGGAAGGGAAUUUAAAAUUUCUAUCCACAAUAGUGAUAAUUCAACAAAUCAAAACCAAGGGGUCACCACAGAGACCGGUCAUCUUGUAGAAACAGAACAUGGGUCAUUCCUUGGACCAGACUCUUUGAGUCAUUCUUGUUUGUGAGCUCGUCGGAUAAGAGGGCUUUUCGAAGCGAUGGAAUUACAGCAGGGUUGGAAAAGAAUCCUGCAUGCCACCGAAGCUCUUAAGUUCAUAGACCAUCUACAAUCUUUCUGAUGGGUUUCCUCACAUAUAAAGCUAGUUUGAGGCCAUAAGGUGUUGGUGUGUGUGUGUAGGUUUCUGUAUGAAGCUAUUGAUUGGUCGAUGCUGCCUUCCAGAGACAAAGAUAUUAGCCUCAGCCCCAAGGUUUUACGCUGCUAUAUUAUUGUGCUUGUGGGAAUAGGGUCUGUUCUCCUUCUCCACUGUAAAACCUUGUAAACCUAAGGAAUGCACUCUCUAAAUGUUUUGUCUCCUGCUCCGUUCAAACGUAGUAGGACAUGAAGUCUCGGCCCACACCUCCUGAGUACCAGGCUCUAAAGACUUGUUGCUGCCACUAUCCAAAGUCAUCCUGGCUGUGGUGCAGAUCAAGACGAUACCUGACAAUUCCAGCUGCCAAUCUGAUACCCC
ensembl:lncRNA